UUUUUUGUCUCCUUCUUGCAAUGGUGACAACCAUUUUGUGUUGUUUUCAGGCAAAGACAAAGUGAAAGCAAUUCAACUGAGGCUUCCAGAACCUAAAGUAGAGAGCCAUGUGGACAUUGAAGUUGUGAGGGAAUUCUUUGCUGCAGAUGGUUGGUCAGAGGUAUAACAUGAUAUAGUGAACAUAACUACAUAAAGUGGAAAUGCAACACCUGCAAAAACUACUCGACUGGCGCCUCUGAAGUUCUGAAGAUCUGUGAGGCAUGUCUUUGAUGGUACCACCAGGCCUGCUAGAAUGUUAAAGCAAGUGCAUAUAAAAGUGCCCAUAUGUGGUUCUGCAAAAGGUGCAAGUGAAUUGCAAGCAAACUGCUUUAAUGUAUUUUGUCUAUCUUCAGUUUCCUUUCUGCUUGUUUUUCUGCCCACAAUCAUUGACUUCAUGCCUGAACUCUAAAAUAUGCAGUUCCGGAACAAUAUUGACUAUCUCACAUCAAAUUUUCUUGGAAACAGCAAGGCAUGUCAGAAACAGACCUAGUGCAUGUCACUACUGUCAAUAUUUUUUGAAACUGAAUAUGGACAGAAGUCUACUACCAUUCAAGUCCACAUUUCAUAUCGAUCCUCUCGUUUGGUGUACAGGUAACACAACAAAGCCUUAAAUGGCGAUGGCUGAAACUCCCCAGGGUUAAAGAUAUAUAAAAACAGAAGAAUGUAUUUACAGCCCCUGCCACAGCACUAUUUGUCGUGCAACACAUGCGUGAUGUGGAGGCUGUGGGUUCGGCUACCACCGGUCUCAAGUUGCUUCUUCUUCCACUUUCAUUUCCCUUUAAUUUUAAGUUUCCACACUUCAAUUAAAAAUACAAAUAACUCA